UACGGGGGGAGCAAACGUUGUUCGGAUUUACUGGGCGUAAAGGGCUCGUAGGUGGCCAACUAAGUCAGACGUGAAAUCCCUCGGCUUAACCGGGGAACUGCGUCUGAUACUGGAUGGCUUGAGUUUGGGAGAGGGACGCGGAAUUCCAGGUGUAGCGGUGAAAUGCGUAGAUAUCUGGAGGAAUACCGGUGGCGAAGGCGGCAUCCUGGACCGAGAUUGACGCUGAUGAGCGAAAGCUAGGGGAGCAAACGGGG
rnacentral:rRNA from 1 species